rnacentral:rRNA from 1 species
GAUGAACGCUGGCGGCGUGCCUAAUACAUGCAAGUCGAGCGAACAGACGAGGAGCUUGCUCCUCUGACGUUAGCGGCGGACGGGUGAGUAACACGUGGAUAACCUACCUAUAAGACUGGGAUAACUUCGGGAAACCGGAGCUAAUACCGGAUAAUAUAUUGAACCGCAUGGUUCUAUAGUGAAAGACGGUUCUGCUGUCCCUUAUAGAUGGAUCCGCGCCGCAUUAGCUAGUUGGUAAGGUAACGGCUUACCAAGGCGACGAUGCGUAGCCGACCUGAGAGGGUGAUCGGCCACACUGGAACUGAAACACGGUCCAGACUCCUACGGGAGGCAGCAGUAGGGAAUCUUCCGCAAUGGGCGAAAGCCUGACGGAGCAACGCCGCGUGAGUGAUGAAGGUCUUCGGAUCGUAAAACUCUGUUAUUAGGGAGGAACAAAUGUGUAAGUAACUAUGCACGUCUUGACGGUACCUAAUCAGAAAGCCACGGCUAACUACGUG